CCAGAGGACUGGUAGCCUGAGGAGGCCACGAGCACCGCAGAGACUAUGGCAGGGGAUCUUUUCUGCACCUUGGACAACUGCUCCUGGAAAGGAAAAGCAGCGUUGUUUUGUAAAUGUAACAUAGGAAAGCCUGGUUGGCAAUUUUUAAACCUUAGCUUUGUUCCUAUGAUUACUAAGUACUAAGUAAUAUCUAAAAUAAAAACCACUGAAUUCUCUUC
rnacentral:lncRNA from 1 species